UAUCAAUAAGCGGAGGAAAAGAAACCAACAGGGAUUGCCUUAGUAGCGGCGAGUGAAGCGGCAAAAGCUCAAAUUUGAAAUCUGGCUCUUUCAGAGUCCGAGUUGUAAUUUGAAGAAGGUAUCUUUGGGUCUGGCUCUUGUCUAUGUUUCUUGGAACAGAACGUCACAGAGGGUGAGAAUCCCGUGCGAUGAGAUGAUCCAGGCCUAUGUAAAGUUCCUUCGAAGAGUCGAGUUGUUUGGGAAUGCAGCUCUAAGUGGGUGGUAAAUUCCAUCUAAAGCUAAAUAUUGGCGAGAGACCGAUAGCGAACAAGUACAGUGAUGGAAAGAUGAAAAGAACUUUGAAAAGAGAGUGAAAAAGUACGUGAAAUUGUUGAAAGGGAAGGGCUUGAGAUCAGACUUGGUAUUUUGUAUGUUACUUCUUCGGGGGUGGCCUCUACAGUUUAUCGGGCCAGCAUCAGUUUGGGCGGUAGGAGAAUUGCGUUGGAAUGUGGCACGGCUUCGGUUGUGUGUUAUAGCCUUCGUCGAUACUGCCAGCCUAGACUGAGGACUGCGGUUUAUACCUAGGAUGUUGGCAUAAUGAUCUUAAGUCGCCCGUCUUGAAACACGGACCA
rnacentral:rRNA from 1 species